rnacentral:lncRNA from 1 species
CAUCUCAGAAGCACUGAUAGAAAUCCAGCUCCACUCACCACAGGUCUCGGAUGAUCUUCCUGUGUUAGAAGGACCGGUUCUGUGGGCCUGACACAAGCUGGCACCUUCAUGAGGGUGUGAAGGUCAGUGGGAGGGAGGCCCGGCUUCGGACGCCGGGUGGUCUGCGUGCGUGGACGAUCCGUCCUUGCAGGCACGAAGGAAACUGAGAUUUCUCCCGCUGGGUUUGCUCUGAUGGGACUGUGGCCAAGUUGUCCCUGGUUCUAAACUCAAGACCUUGUGCAGAGCUUACAUUGUGGCUACAGAUGUCAGAGAGAGCCGACGGCUUGGAAGGACCGGGCGGGCAUGUAGUGCAGGCAGCAGGAGCUGGGGCGUGGGGGUUGCGGUGGUUCUGGAGUUCCAGCCGGGCCAGGCCUCCGCAUUGAGCCACCGUGGACGUGGCUGAAAGAUGGGCCUCUCUGGCUCUGGGGAGGAACACGCUUCUCCGGUUCUCAGCAUCUGGCAGUGAUGUUUACAUUCAAAGCGAGAGGCGGGAAACCAGGGAUACCCGGCCUGCCUAGGCGGGGAUGCUGAGAUGGGAGGAAAUGGCAGGAUCCAAGUGUCAGGAUCGCUGCAGCCUGGACACCCCAUGUGCAGGCCCACAUGCAGCAGAGAAGAGCCAGGGAGGGGAAGAGAAGGUGGAGGCUGGCAGCGGUGCCCGGGAUGGAGCUGGGCGCCUUGGUGCCACCUGCUUGGUUCUCUGGACUGUGACAGCUGUCAGCGCAGCACAACACAGGGACCUUCUCUGAGGCCACAGACUUGACCCCCGACCCGUCCUAUUAGCCUCUUCUGUUCCACCUUGAACUGACCGACUGUCCAAUAACGAGGAAGACGAGCACCCGUCUUGCACCAGGACUGUGCUGGAUGCUUGAGAGAUCGGAGGGGUAGCUGUUGCCUUCUAGGGGGGUGGGGGUGACAGUUCCAGGCAAGGGCAAGAAGGCUUAGCUGGCGUCGCCCACACCCGUGCCUGCCCUGCGGCACUAAGUUCCCAGGAACUGGCGGGGUCACUCACUGGCUCCAUAUAGUCUCAGGUAACUCACCCUCACCUGCUCUGGGCAAAACGAAGAGGACGAAAGCCAUGUUUUGAAGGGGUGCCUCUCUGUUGCCGGAGAGCAUCCACACCCGAAGUUUCUUCUCCAGGCAACUGAAACUUCCCUUUACCGGAGUCUGUGCGGGACACGGCUCUAAUUGCUUCCUACGUUAUCCCGGUUGAUUCUUACACCAAAAAACAAACAAUUCGGAGUUCGGUGCUGUGAUACUCAUUUUAGAAAUGAAGAGGGGAGGGGCAGCCCCGGUGGCUCAGCGGUUUAGCGCCGCCUUCGGCCCAGGGCACGAUCCUAGAGACCUGGGAUCGAGUCCCAUGUCGGGCUCCCUGCGUGGAGCCUGCUUCUCCCUCUGCCUGGGUCUCUGCCUCGCUCUCUGUGUCUCUCAUGAAUAAAUAAAUAAAAUGUAAAAAAAAAAA